rnacentral:rRNA from 1 species
UAGGGAAUCUUCCGCAAUGGACGAAAGUCUGACGGAGCAACGCCGCGUGAGUGAAGAAGGAUUUCGGUUCGUAAAACUCUGUUGUUAGGGAAGAAAAAAUGUAUAGUAACUAUAUACAAAAGAGACGGUACCUAACCAGAAAGCCACGGCUAACUACGUGCCAGCAGCCGCGGUAAUACGUAGGUGGCAAGCGUUGUCCGGAAUUAUUGGGCGUAAAGCGCGCGCAGGUGGUUUAGAAAGUCUGAUGUGAAAGCCCACGGCUCAACCGUGGAGGGUCAUUGGAAACUAAUAAACUUGAGUGCAGGAGAGAAAAGUGGAAUUCCUAGUGUAGCGGUGAAAUGCGUAGAGAUUAGGAGGAACACCGGUGGCGAAAGCGGCUUUUUGGCCUGCAACUGACACUGAGGCGCGAAAGCGUGGGGAGCAAGCAGG